CACCAAAGGAUGAAUAUUACAAUAAGACUAUCUUUUGAACCUGCGCUGUUAACGGCUUCAUCAGUGAGCAGAAAAAGGUUGAGUAAGUUAUGUGGAUGCCCUUACAUUCACAUGAAGGUAAAAACUAAAAUAAAGAAGUAUUGUUUCAGAACAACAGUUACUGAGAAACUCGUUUACUGCAGUCUCUGUAAGAGCUUCUACAAAGAGAUGUUACUACUUUAAAACUCUUGCAGAGAAUGAGAUAGUAUAAGAGUGCUACAAAUCUAGUACUUGAGUUCAAGCAAAAUGAGCACAACUCACCCCCCUCAAAUUAUAUCAUUGGGAAGAAAUCUUAAAGAAAAGUGCACAAAAACAGCUGAAAUAACUUACCAGUCACUGAUAGAAGUUGUGGAGACGCUUUCAACGACAUUGGACAUCAGUUAUUACCGGAAAGAAAGAAAGAAAAGAUAGGGAUUUAAGGGAAAAUUCUAAAAAAUUAGGGCUUUUUAGGGAUAGCCAAAAAAAUUAGGGAUUUUUAGGAUUUUUAGGGCCUCCAACAUGCCUGUAGUCACUAACAACAGAGCUUUAUGUGCAUCAUCCUUCGCCACCAUCCAAACGGCCAAUGGGUAUAUAGUUCUAGCAAUGGUGGUAAAUUCUAGUUGAAGGUUUUCCACCAGUAUGAUAAACAUUAUUUUACCAGAAGAAAGAUGUUCUCAUGCCUUUUCAGGAGCAUAUAGGACUAACAAAUCAAUUGUUUCAAAUUGAAAGCGAAAUAAUAUUACUAAAAAUGGCACUCGCAUUUUUUAAUACUCACGAAAAUAAGAAUGAAGGAUUCCUGAAAUAUAUUUGCAUAAAGAGAAACAACAUAAAGGGCUAUAGGCAAAAAUGUUUGAACUGAGGGAGCACUGGAUAGCAUAACUGCUGGUGUUCAUUGAUGGGCAUUCCCCCCAGAAAAUUUGGAAAAUUCUACAAUCUGCCACAAAACUGACAACUAAUUGAUCUUUUCAACCCCCUAUUGCUUCAAUUUUAUCUCUUUUCCCUCUUUAAGUUAACCUUUACACCCUUUCUCCCCCAAAACAAUGUUGUAGCAUGAUUUCGUGAACUUUAAGCCAACUUUGAAUGGGGAAAGGAGGGCUAUAAAUGAUUUAUAGUGUGAUAGUGCAUGAAAUUAUUUCAAGUCACGUAAUAUGCUUAGGGACAUUUCUCUCUAAAACUGAACAUGUGUUUUGAAAAUCGUAACGGGAACAUAAGGUUCAAGAAAGGGAAAGGAAUACAGAAUUGUAAGUACAAUUAGCUCAAGAACAUUACGGCACAGUGCCUGAAAAGUACUUAGUGUAAUUUGUUUAUAUCAGUUUGACCUCACAUGCUCAUAAGGAGUGCAGAAAUAAAAUUCCAAAAUUUCCCAAGCUGUUAAGGUCUGAAUACAAGCUCAAUAUAAAUACCCUAUACAGAUUGACAAAUGAAGGGAAGAUUUGAAAAA